rnacentral:rRNA from 1 species
UACAGAGGCCCCAAGCGUUAGGCGGAAUCACUGGGCUUAAAGCGUGUGUAGGCGGGUCGUUAAGUACCUUGUGAAAUCCCACGGCUUAACCGUGGAACCGCUCGGUAUACUGGCGAUCUUGAGCCACUUAGGGGCUACCGGAACAGAUGUUGGAGCGGUGAAAUGCGUAGAUAUCAUCUGGAACGCCAAUGGUGAAAACAGGUAGCUGGGAGUGUGCUGACGCUGAGACACGAAGGCCAGGGGAGCGAACGGG